rnacentral:rRNA from 1 species
GACGAACGCUGGCGGCGUGCUUAACACAUGCAAGUCGAGCGAUGAAGUUUCUUCGGAAAUGGAUUAGCGGCGAACGGGUGAGGAACACGUGAAGAAUCUGCCCUCCACUUCGGGAUAACACCGGGAAACCGGUGCUAAUACUGAAUAUUGAAACAUAAGUGGCAUCACUGAGUUUUGAAAGAAUUUCGGUGGAGGAUGACUUCGCGGCCUAUCAGCUAGUUGGUGAGGUAAUGGCUCACCAAGGCAACGACGGGUAGCCGGCCUGAGAGGGCGACCGGCCACACCGGGACUGAGACACGGCCCAGACUCCUACAGGAGGCAGCAGUGGGGAAUAUUGGGCAAUGGAGGAAACUCUGACCCAGCGACGCCGCGUGCGGGAUGAAGGCCUUCGGGUUGUAAACCGCUUUCAGUAGGGAAGAAGCGAAAGUGACGGUACCUACAAAAGAAGCACCGGCUAACUAUGUGCCAGCAGCCGCGGUAA